AAUCUCCCCCCACAUUUCCAUUUCCCACACCUCCACAAUAACUCCCCACGCCUAACUAAAUUAAUCCGCCAAACUCCGAGUGAGCCACGCCACCACACGCAGAGCCCCAGCACAGAGAGAGGGAGGAAGCCAGGCGCCCAAGAAAACGCCGCGGCAGCCACCACCACCACCAACCCCUCCCUUUUCCUCCUCCUCGCCCGCCUCUCCUACAAGAAGCCCCCACCCGACCGCCGAUAGCUACCUAGCUCCCACCCCGCUGCUCCCCCCUCCUCGACUCCACCUCCACCACCUUCCCCGUUCCGUUCCGUCCGCCGGAGAUCCAGGAGCCUAGGGGAGCCCCAGGACCCGGGCGGCGAUGGGGAGAAGGGGCGCGAUGCUCGCGGUGGUGGCGGCGGUUCUUGCGGCGGCGGCGGCCGGCGCCGCGGCGGAAUCCAGGGAGGCGGCGGCCAAGGGGAUGUACCACGCGCUCUUCAACUUCGGGGACUCGCUGGCGGACGCCGGCAACCUUAUCCAGAACGGCACGCCGGAAUUCCUCGCCACCGCGCGCCUGCCCUACGGCCAGACCUACUUCGGCAAGGCCACCGGCCGCUGCUCCGACGGCCGCCUCGUCAUCGACCACCUCGCGCAAGAGUUCGGCCUGCCGCUGCUGCCGCCGUCCAAGGCCAAGAACGCCAGCUUCGCGCACGGCGCCAACUUCGCCAUCACCGGCGCCACCGCGCUCGACACUCCUUACUUCGUCGCCAAGGGCUCGGCGACGUCAUCUGGAACUCCGGCGCGCUCAUGACCCAAAUCGAGUGGUUCCGCGAGCUCAAGCCUUUCUUCUGCAACUCCACCCAGGAAUGCAAGAAGUUUUUUGCCAAGGCACUGUUCGUGGUCGGUGAGUUCGGCGGCAACGACUACAAUGCACCCCUCUUUGCAGGGAAGGGCAUCACGGAGGCCUACAAGUUCAUGCCAGAUGUCAUCCAGGGCAUCUCCGACGGUAUUGAGGCACUAAUUGCCGAGGGGGCGGUGGAUCUGAUUGUGCCUGGUGUCAUGCCCACCGGCUGCUUCCCGGUGUACUUGAACAUGCUUGAUGAGCCAAAAGAUGGAUAUGGUGAACGCAGCGGGUGCGUCCGCCGGUUCAACACAUUCUCCUGGGUGCACAAUGCACAUCUCAAGGCCAUGCUUGAGAAGCUCCGGGCUAAGCACCCCAAUGUGAGAAUCAUAUAUGGUGAUUACUACACACCAGUUAUCCAGUUCAUGCUUCGGCCUGAGAAGUUUGGUUUUGCCAAGCAACUGCCUAGGGCGUGUUGUGGGGCUCCAUCGACUCCUGAGAGAGCUGCUUACAACUUCAAUGUCACGGCCAAAUGUGGUGAGCCUGGUGCGACCGCUUGUGCUGAUCCGACAACCCACUGGAGCUGGGAUGGCAUUCACUUGACAGAGGCAGCCUACCGCCAUAUCGCCAAAGGCUGGCUAUAUGGCCCUUUCGCAGACCAACCAAUCAUCCAGUCAUCGUGAGCACGUCACUCCUGUUGUAGAGUGUAUCAAAGUAGCGCACUGAAGAAAUGGAGCGGGGAAAGUAGUUCUUCCAUACAGUUCCAAUGUUUGCAUACAUGUACAUCUCCAUUUGAUUGAAUUCAUUGCGGUGGGGGUACAAAGGUGGGAUAGGGGGGCUGUCAAAGGCCUCAUUUCUUGAUUUGUCAGAGGGUAUAAAUAUGAAAAAUGUAACGCACACAUGAUCAUGUAUAUUGUGUCCCGGAAAUGUGAUACAGACUGUCUGCUUGAGCAGCUUCUGAUUCUCUGAUUAAAGAUGUGCCGGUUUUGCGAUUCUUA